rnacentral:lncRNA from 10 species
GCAAGCAUCCAUAGGAAGUCAGAAAGUGAGGCAAGGACAGAUGAGUUCAUGAGCAGGGUUUGAGUUCAGACAACCGGGGCUGAUCCCCAAAAUCCCCUGGAAAAUGGUGCAGAACGCACCUCAGAGUCACCCCACCCAAGGAGCAUGAAUACUGGGGUAUUUAUCUUCCAUGACCUGUCUGCUUCCUGUUGGACAUUAACUCCCGCUGAACCUCCAAUCUUACCAGCACAAACACCAGAGAAAGCCCUCCAGCAGAUGGUCGGGUGGGGGUCUUGCAGCAGGCGGCUCAAGCAGUGUGCAUGGAAACUAAGGCAGAGGACUCUGGGGUAGGGACAGCAAAAAGGAAUCCAGAACAAAUAAACCCCUAGACAUGUGAUGAUGGGAGCCUUGACCAGGGCUGAGGCCCUGGAAAUGGAGACAACAGAUGCCAGAAAUCUGUAGCAGGUACAACAGAUAGAAUUGGAGGAUGUCAAGACCCACGAUGAUCUGAGACGUUGCCCAAUUUCAUGCUAACAAGUUAGCCAACCAGAGCUCCACAGCUGCCACAGGAAGACAUGAGACUCCCAGGUCAGAGAUCAAAGACAAUGUUACUCAUGGCAAUAGCAGUGAACUAGGUUAUAAGCAUUUUCCAUUCAUUCCUUGAGCUCCAAAUCCCACAGGGUGAUAUGACAAGGGCCAGAUGAUGCCUGGCAGUAUCUGAGGUGGGUGUGUUACAGGAGAG